CCACAUGGUACAACAACACUUUGAACAAGGGCAAUAGCGGGAGGCAAUUUCAAACCUUUGUCAUCGCCGUGAACCAUAACAGCGACACCAAUGGUUCGAGUCGAAAGACCCCAAGAGUUUUGCCAAACAAAUAGCUUGGGACGUUCACCAGUUGGACCAAUUUCUGCGUUAGGAUCUUCAACUACGAUAUUGAACAUCUUUGAGAAGUUUUGGCCCAAGCAAUGACUAGUAGCUCCUUGAAUACCACGGCCAGUAGUAGGAAUAUAUCCUUCGACAGUCGUUGUAAACAUGCCACCAGCAAACUUCUCGUUUUCACUCUUGACACCUUUGAUAACAGGAACAGCUAAAAGAUCGGUAUAAAUACGGGCAUACAAAUCCAAAAUUUGAUGGACUUCUUCAGUUGCACCUUCCAAAGUCAUGUGAGCAGUAUGGCCCUCCUGCCAAAGAAACUCACGAGUUCUUAAGAAGGGUUGAGGGUUUUUAAAUUCCCAGCGGACAACAGAGUUCCACUGAUUAAGUUUGAGGGGAAGAUCGCGAUGACUGCGGAUCCAUUUAGCAUAGUAGGGAUACAUAACGGUUUCAGAGGUAGGACGAAUAGCAAUGGGCUCAUCUAACUCCGAAGUACCAGCACGAGUAACCCAUGCGACUUCGGGAGCGAAACCUUCAACGUGAUCUUUUUCUUUUUCUAAAACCUUGGAAGAUACGAAAAGAGGAAAGUAACCGUUACGGACACCAAGCUUCUUGAUUUCCUUGUCAAACCAUCCUUGGAUGGCUUCCCAGAUGCUAUAAGACCAUGGUUUUAAGAUAUAGCAACCAGAGAUAUCAUAGUACUCAAUCAUGUCACUUUUAGUAAGGACUUGUUGGUACCAAUUAGGAAAGUCAGCAUCCUUUCGGACAGUGAUACCAAUCAGAGCUGCAUUCUCGAUGGCAGCGUCAUUCUUUGAGGGCUCAGCUUUUUUCUUUUGAGCAGCAGGCUUUGAAGGAGCAGUAGCAGAACCUGGAGCGGAAAAGUCAACAAUGAUAGGGUUCACACCAACAGAUUUCAAGUAUGUUUGAACGGCAGCUGGAGAAACAAAUACUGUCUUUGCGCUACUAGAAGGAUGGAAAGCUAAUAAGCCAUUGUGUUGAAUAAGAGCGGCAUCCAAAACAACGUGGACUUUUGAAGCAUUCUCCUUGUUAACGGAAAAGAUACCAACAUCAGUUGGAGGAAUGCCAAAGACUUCCUCGACCAAAUCAGCGGCAGCCAUACGAGCUUCCUUUGAUCCGACAGCUUUUGCGGCUAUUCCAGAAGGGGUAGAAGUAGUUUCCAAAGCUGCCAAAAUGAUGGGCACUACAGUUUGAGAUUUUGCUGUCUUGGGCUUUAACACGAUGGUUUUUGUUAAAGCAUGAGAUGGAACAUCUUUGGUAGAUUGCAAGGCGCUAGCCCAAGUAGCCCCAUUGCUGACCUCUUGAUGUUCAACAAGCUUUAAAUCAUCAGUUAUAAGCUGCUCUAAACAUGAAACUAAGCUGUCAACAGACAUUUCUGUAACAAGGAAAAAGUUUUCGUUUUGCCUGAGUUUAUAGAGAUAGUCACAAAGUAGUGAUAAUGAGUAACUCCUGAAAACGUUUGGGCAGUU
rnacentral:lncRNA from 1 species